UCAGCCUCCCAAAGUGCUGGGAUUACAGGCCUGAGACACCAUGCACAGCAAUAAUUUUUAAAAUAAACAAAAGUAGGUUAGAAACAAACCUCCUACUUGAAAAACUCCACAUCUAAUUCUGCCACAAAAAGGAAUGAAAUUCUGGCAUACGCCACAACAUGGCCAAGCCUUGGAAACAUCAUGUGAAGUCAGCCAGAUGCAAGUGGACAAACACUAUGUCAAUUCCAUCUGCAUGAGGCCCCUAGACUGGGCAAAUCCAGAGACAGAAAGUAGAAUGGUGGUUGCCAGGGGCUGGGGAAGGCAAGAAAGGGAGUUACUGUUUAAUAGGACAAAGUUGUGCUGGUAAUGAUGAAGCUGUUUUGGGAACAGGUAGUGGUGACAGCUACACAACGCUGCAAGCGCAUUUAACACCACUGAACUGUACACUUAAAAACGGCUAAAAUGAUAAAUAUUACGCCAUGUAUAUUUUAUCACAAUAAAAAAAAAAUUCCUAGACCUCAAAAAAAAAAAAAAAAAAUCCCAAUCUAUGCCAACCUGGGUGUCCGGUUUCUCUCUGUAGGUCAAGUGAAACACGGCCCAAACCACCCUAAGUUGCUGAGAUACAGAUGCGAACUCCACAGAGCCCACCUCUGGGUGGCGGUGUGCGCCUCCACCACAGUCUGUCCUGCGGGGAACACGGAGGUCACCAGCGCGCAUGGCCAGAGAGAAGUUCCAUCUACUUUUUAAAUAACCCAGCAGAAAGCCCUAUGCUGAUACCUUCAUAAUCCAAAUAGAUUACGUCUUCUACUACUGAAUUCUUUAAUGAACAGUAAGUAAACUGAGAACGGUUAAAGUAAAAACUUUCUCAUUCUCUCCAUUUUAAGUCAAGAUCACUAUUACACACCUGAACUUAACCGGGGCUCUAUGGCAGAGGAGAUUAAUAAUUUUGGUUAAUACUACUUCAAGGAUUAUCUGAUAUUUCAGACGCCUUUAACAACUUACUGAUACAUCUAUCUGUUACCAUAAACGAAGUCAAAAUCUACUAAAUGUGACCUGUGACAUUCAACUAGAUCUCUAGCGUCUGACAAAAUUGCAGGGAGCCGGAGAAGCACGGCUGCGGCGGAGCUGCAAUCCACCAUCGGCCCCUGUCUGAUAAAAAUGCUUUUAAAAGGCCGGGAACUUUUACAAAUGCACUGAUACAUGUAAGGUACGACUCCCCCCUUUUCAAUCAUUACUAUAGCUGAGAAGUUUUUGUUUUGCUUUCUUUUAAAUCUAGUUAUGUACUAGAGUUUUGGAAUGAAUACACUUUCAGGGAUACUACUUUGCCAUUCUAGAUUCUGGAACAGAACUAUUGAAACGAAAAAAAAAAAAAAAAGUUUAAGGUAUUUUCAAACACGACAAAAUGGCAGCCUAAAACAGUUAAAAUUCCAGAAAACCGGAGAACAGAAGGUGGGGUGAUAAGCAGUGCUGAGUCAUUAUUAGAGGUGCACGGACGGAAAAACCUUCCUCCUUCGAGUUGCUAGAACUCCCUCUUUACCUUUUCUUAAGGGCACUUUUCUCCUUAUAUCUACGAAACAAUGCAUUCUUAGUGUGGAACAUAAAAUGAUACAGAAAUGUGCAGAACAAAAGCCAAAGUCUCUGUUCAGUGCAGACGUGACCCCCUCCUUCCCCCAGGCACCCUGAUGUUGCCCCUGGAUAUCUGCUUUCCAGAGCAGCAUUUACGACCACACUCAGCUUCGGAUGGGGUCACUGUUCUUCUGCAAAAGCUGCUGUUUUUCACCCAACACAGACCGCUCUCCGAGGGGCACAGAAUACUCUCACUCCACAAAAUGUGUGUUCUAACACAUUUAACCGCCUCACUACUUUGAGGCAUUUAGCGUUUUCAACAUUGUAUUGCUGCAGUGCACAUCUUUCGGAAAUGCUGGCCUAUUUCCUGUAGGAUUCCUACAA